rnacentral:tRNA from 1 species
CUUGCGGUGUGUCGAGAAUCGUCCGCCUGAAAAGCGGAAGGUCGCCGGUUCGAUCCCGGCCCUGGCCA